rnacentral:rRNA from 1 species
AUGAACGCUAGCUACAGGCUUAACACAUGCAAGUCGAGGGGCAGCAUGGUCUUAGCUUGCUAAGGCUGAUGGCGACCGGCGCACGGGUGAGUAACACGUAUCCAACCUGCCGUCUACUCUUGGACAGCCUUCUGAAAAGGAAGAUUAAUACAAGAUGGCAUCAUGAGUCCGCAUGUUCACAUGAUUAAAGGUAUUCCGGUAGACGAUGGGGAUGCGUUCCAUUAGAUAGUAGGCGGGGUAACGGCCCACCUAGUCUUCGAUGGAUAGGGGUUCUGAGAGGAAGGUCCCCCACAUUGGAACUGAGACACGGUCCAAACUCCUACGGGAGGCAGCAGUGAGGAAUAUUGGUCAAUGGACGAGAGUCUGAACCAGCCAAGUAGCGUGCAGGAAGACGGCCCUAUGGGUUGUAAACUGCUUUUAUAAGGGAAUAAAGUGAGUCUCGUGAGACUUUUUGCAUGUACCUUAUGAAUAAGGACCGGCUAAUUCCGUG